rnacentral:lncRNA from 1 species
UGUUUGUCCUUCUCAUUUCUCAGCACAUUGAAAAUGGUUGGAUUUCUCUUAUAUGCUGGUUUCUUUCGUGUAGUUUUUAUUAUCUCCUUUAUUACAUUGCUGUUUUUUAGAGCAUAGGGAUGCAUGGAACCACAAGACCUAAGUGAGGAGAUCGAUUACAUAUAUAAUACUGGCUACCGCCAUGGAUACUCCAAGACAUUCAUCAAAGCAAUCCGUAAUCAACCACUACUAAAACCACUACUAAUGGAAUCGUUGCGGAUGCAGAGGGCGGCCUGUGGGGGGUGCGUCCUCAAUGACAGACUUGCUCUCCAGCUCCCCCAGGCUUGGGAGUGCUUAAUAGGGGAGACGAGCAGCAGUUCCAGC